GUGAUGUCAGAAUGGAACGUCAGCACGGUAUGUGACUUUGUGUUUCGUGAUUUACCAAGGUACAGUAAACUUCUGUGUUGGAAUCAAGUCACAAUGCUUGAAAUACGUUGAGAACACCAGACCAGGAGGCCCUAGACCAGCACUGGCUGGGUUUUUCAGUGACUGCAGCUGAGCAGACUCUCCUCAGGAGAGUCCCCAGUUCGCUGUCAUGCUCAUGGCUCACCAUUCCCCCUGUGCCUGUGGUCUCACUCUGACCUGUGACGGGUGACAAGGCUAUUUUUGUCAUCAGAAAAUAUGUGUUAAUGAACUAGAAAUCUGUUUGAGAAGGUGAACAGCACGGCAUGAUCAUAUCUGACACUGACAGUGCAUACGUCGCUGCAUAGCACAUAGCAGUUAGCACUUCUGCUAGCUCCUUCAAUGCCACCAGUUUGUGAUUCCUUCUCUGGAAUGUAAGUGAAAGGAAACGUGCUGACACUCACCUUGCAAUCAUCACAUCAUGAACCUGUUAAUUUAAGUGUCUCUGUUGUUAUGGUUUCAGGUGGGUGUGGCUAAUAUCUGACCAUGGUGAAGUCGUGUGCUGCCAUCUCCUGCACCAGUCCAUUUGUAACAUUUCCUUUCAUAAGUUUCCCAAGCAGUCCAAGGACAGCACACUGAGAGAUCAAUGGAUACAGGCCAUCAGUAGAGAAGCGAUGGGGACCAAAAGGAGAUGAUCAUAAUUAUGUCUGCAGCAACCAUUUCAGGGAGGAGGACUUCAUCCUCUCAAAACAUGCUCAACACAAGCUUCUCAGGCCAGGAGCUGUACCAUCCCUCAGUUUGGGGAAACCAGAGAAAAAGAUCGCAGUGAGGACAACCCAAAGCAGCCCGGCAGCAGUGGCAUUAUACCAGCACAUGGACAUGGAGCCUGAAGAGGGCAGUGCUGCUGUUAGUGAACACCAUGCAUACUGUACAGACAGCGACAACCUGAAGAGGAAGUAGGCAGAACGUGUGAAGAGG